ACACACAGCUAGCCCUGGCGGCCUAACACCCGCCAGCGUCCGCCGGGUCGGGCCAACGGGGCCCGGGAACGGGCGUCAUACUCCGGUGGCUGGCUCCGAACCUGGCCUCAGGGGAGGGGCGAGAACAAUGAGGCUGGUCCCGCGGUUCUCCUGCCGGCUGGAGGGCCGUGGGACGAGAGGCAGGAAGAUAAACCGGCUAUCGACGUAGACGCCUGCGACUGAGGGUUUCCGGACGUGGGUUCGAUUCCCACCGCCUCCACCA
rnacentral:tmRNA from 1 species